ACGAUCUGUAGCUGGUCUGAGAGGACGACCAGCCCACACUGGAACUGAGACACGGUCCAGACUCCUACGGGAGGCAGCAGUGGGGAAUUUUGGACAAUGGGCGCAAGCCUGAUCCAGCAAUGCCGCGUGCAGGAUGAAGGCCUUCGGGUUGUAAACUGCUUUUGUACGGAACGAAACGGUCUUUUCUAAUAAAGAGGGCUAAUGACGGUACCGUAAGAAUAAGCACCGGCUAACUACGUGCCAGCAGCCGCGGUAAUACGUAGGGUGCGAGCGUUAAUCGGAAUUACUGGGCGUAAAGCGUGCGCAGGCGGUGAUGUAAGACAGAUGUGAAAUCCCCGGGCUCAACCUGGGACCUGCAUUUGUGACUGCAUCGCUAGAGUACGGUAGAGGGGGAUGGAAUUCCGCGUGUAGCAGUGAAAUGCGUAGAUAUGCGGAGGAACACCGAUGGCGAAGGCAAUCCCCUGGACCUGUACUGACGCUCAUGCACGAAAGCGUGGGGAGCAAACAGGAUUAGAUACCCUGGUAGUCCACGCCCUAAACGAUGUCAACUGGUUGUUGGGUCUUUGCUGACUCAGUAACGAAGCUAACGCGUGAAGUUGACCGCCUGGGGAGUACGGUCGCAAGAUUAAAACUCAAAGGAAUUGACGG
rnacentral:rRNA from 1 species